AACAGCCUGGCGAACAAUAUAUUACCCACGACCACAGGGAACCGCCGAAAGGCUAAACGGAGGGCUGCACAGCAAGGACCAAGUACAGAGAGCACAAUAAUCCCAAAUAAACAGUUCGAGAGGAGGUCACAGGGGCUUACAUGUCUUUACACUAAUGCUCAGAGCAUGGGAAAUAAGCAAGACGAACUCCAACUCCUAGCACAGCACCACACAUACGAUGUCAUAGGCAUCACUGAAACCUGGUGGGAUGACUCCCAUCACUGGAAUUUAACCAUUGAGGGCUAUAACCUCUUUCACAGAAAUAGAACAAAGGGGAGAGGAGGGGGAGUAGCUUUAUAUGUCAAAAACAGUUAUGUUGCAGAAGAAAUGCAAGACUGUAAUCCGGGAAACCAGCUUGAAAGCAUCUGGAUAAGAAUCAAGGGAACCGGGACUCAAAAAGAUCUUGUCGUGGGUGUCUACUACAGACCUCCGAGUCAGGAUGAAGGACUUGAUGAAGCCUUCUGUCAACAGCUGACCAAACAGGCACAAAGAAGAGAUAUAGUAGUCAUGGGCGAUUUCAAUUAUCCCGAUAUCUGCUGGAAAACAAACUCAGCCAAGAGUACAAAGUCCAACAAAUUCCUCACUUGCCUUGCAGAUAAUUUUAUGGUCCAGAAGGUAGAAGAGGCAACAAGGGGAUCAGCAACUCUUGAUCUAAUCUUAACAAAUGAUUCUCCCAGACAAGAAGAAGCCAGCCUUGAGGCCACAGGGCCAUCAAAUGCUAAUCAAGGUGAUUAAUUACAACAACACCUGCCUCCAACAGACAAAGGUUCUUUCUCCCACCCUGGAUCUUCCACAGAUAUAUAAACCUCACUGACUUAGUUUCCAAUAUACCACACAACCUCUGAGGAUGUUUGCCAUAGAUGUAGGUGAAAUGUCAGGAGAUAAUACUUCUGGAACAUGGCCACACAGCCCGAAAGACAUACAACAACCCUAAAGGGUAAACGUUUUCCCCUGACAUUAAGUCCAGUCAUGUCUUAUUUCGGGGUUUUGGUGCUCAUCUCCAUUUCUAAGCCAAAGAGCCAGCGUUGUCCGUAGACUCCUCCAAGGUCAUGUGGGAUGACUGCAUGGAGCGGUGUUACCUUCCCGCUGGAGCAGUACCUAUUGAUGCACGCAAAUUUGCAUGUUUUUGAACUUCUGGGUUGGCAGAAGCUGGGGCUAACAGUGAGGGCUCACUCUGGUCCCCCAAUUCAAACCUGCUGCGGCCUUUCAGUCCAGAAUUUCAGCAGCUCAGCGCUUUCACACGCUGUGCCAUCAGGGGAUAUUAUUUCUUAAAGGUUGUGAAUAUACAAUAUUUCUGAUUGUUUUUUUUUUGUCUGUUAGAGGCAAGUAUGAAUGCUGCAAUUAGGAAAAAUGAUAAGGAUGUAAUGGCCUUGCAGCUUUACAGCCUGGCUGUUUCCUCUCUGAGUGAGUUUUUUGUUGGGAGGUGUCAGCUGGCCCUGAUUGUUUCCUGUCUGGAAUUCCCCUGUUUUCAGAGUGGUGUUCUUUGCGAUAUUUUAUGUGCUUCUACUGUCUGUGGCCGUGAGAAAACAGAGGAUUUACCAGACUUUGAUGAUGGGAAUACUUUGUUGGGAGGUGUUAGCUGGCCCUGAUUGUUUCCUGUCUGGAAUUCUGUUAACACUUCCAAUAUCCGUGGCCAGCAGUGAAAGGAGUUUUUCAAAAUUGAAACUUAUAAAAAAUUACUUAAGAUCUACUGUGAGUCAAGAGCGCUUGAGUGGACUAUCAACCUUGGCCACUGAAAAUAGCUUGUUGGAUGACAUGGACACAGAUUCCCUAGUACAUGAGUUUUCCAAAUUGAAAGUCAGAAAAAUCAGGUUUUAAUUUUUAAAAGUGUUCAAGUUAAUUUGUGUUAAGGAAAACUGGAUGUUAAAAUAUCCACUCAAGUGAAGGGGCCAUAGGCUGGCUAUGUUGCCACUCCCAUUACAAUAGUCCACACUGGUGUGGCACAUCUGAAGGACAAGAGUUCACUUCCUGAGAAAGGAAGUGUCUAUUCUCCUGGGGCUGCGUUCUCCCAAACAAAACUGAUCUGAAGCUAGUCCGAAGUCUGAAAAAUCUUCUGAAGAGAUAUCAUGACCAGGAAACCUUUGUGUAGUACUUGUAGACUAGAAAUAACAAAAAAAUUAAAAUUGUUGCAAAGUUUAUUAAAAUAUUUAUUUAUUAAAAUGCAAGAUUGGCGUUAAUUCUAUGUAAUGUUACUAUAUGAAUAUAAUGUUGUUAAUAAACUUCUGGUUGUAAGGUAAACUCUUUUAUCCAUUCUAUUCACCUCUACCUUCUACCUUUUAUUUCUCGGUGAUUGGGUUUUUUUAGGAGGGGGGGGCACCAAAAUCCUGUUUCGCUUACACUUGAAAAUUUCCUUGGGCCGGCCCUGGUAGUAGUAUUUGAAGUCUGUUACCUUCUUCAAUGUUUGUGUUGUUUGAUAAUUGGUUGAGAUCCCUGUUGUCUUUGGUUUAUUGUUAAUCGUAAUGUCUGAUUCUGCUGAGUGCGGUUUAUAUUUUUAUUGUGGUAGAAUCGUCUUUUUUUUUUGCCUGUGUAGGUGUUUAUUAUUAUUGGUGUUGUAGUGGUCAUGAAGGUUGGAUAAGUUAGAUGCUACUGUAUUGUUUUUUGGAGGACCAGUGUAGCACUGACUGGCCUCUCAGCCUCAGUGCCUGGCUGCUUCCUGCCUGUGAUGGUGUUGAUUCUUAUUGUUGUUGUUGUCAUUGUUAUUAUUGUAAUUGUUUUUUUGGAGGCCAAGUGUGAAUGUAGGGAUUGGGCAGGUGGAUGAGCACUGAAUGGCCUUGUAGACUCAGUGCAUGGCUGAUUCUUGCCGGUGUAGGUGUUUAUUAUUAGUGGGUGAGUGGAUGGAUUGUCACCUUGCUGUGGUGAGGGGGCUUGCGUGUUCUGAUGAACCUGUGGGCACAACCACUGGAGUGAUGCACUCCCAGGAGUGGCCUCAGGGGAGGUUCCAGACCAAGCACAAUCCGAAGACCCAAAGACCUCAACGGCAGAGCAGGCGGAGGAUAACAUGGUACAUGUUACAACAGCUGUGAAGGCAGAAGAAGGCUGCAAUAGACUGAGAAGCCACUCUUGUUGUGUUAACCACACCACUGCUGGAACCUCACUCUGUGAAGACUGUGUGUUGACCGGCCGUGCACUGAUCUCCACACAUUUAAAAAAAUCAUGCACAGGUGUUGUGCUGUCUUACUGGGUUCCUAUCCCCUGCUUAUUUUCUGCUUUGCUGUUCCUGGGUGGAAUGUUCCAUUGGCUCCUGUUUUGGGGGUGGAGCUUGGGACUCCCCUUUAGGUUUGUAUGAGUUGGUUCAGCCUGUGAGCUAGGCUCUAGAGGCUUUUUCCCUCCAUUUGGGAUUUGGGAAAAACCUCUUAGAGAUAGGUCAAAGAACCCAGACCAAAGUCUCUUCCAACAAAAAUAAAAACAAACCUACAAAAGUCCCAUGACGAUCAGCGAGUGGCGACGGGGGCAGGACUGUGAAAUCUGGAAGCCCCUAGUCACAGACUGGCACAUGGGCGGUGGAUAUGGACUCAGUCGUUCUACCUCAAGGACCGAGGCAGUUGAGUAGUCCGGCAGCUGUAUCCAUGAAUGAGCAGCCCUUUUUAGGAUCCGCUCUGCUCAACCCACAUGGGGAAGGGGCUAGAAAAGGUGCCCUAAACAUAGUCUGCCUCUCCUACCCUGACUGGACUGCCGCAUCCAGAGGGGUCACCACUCUGCGGCCAAAAAAGAGAAAUGAACUUUGGAACAUGGAACGUACGGACACUGUUGGAUAACACUGACAGCGAACGCCCUGGGACGCUUUAAGAUCGACAUAGCAGCCCUUCAGGAGACCCAGAGAGCAGGAGAGGGACAGCUGAAGGAAGAAAAGGGAGGCUACACCUUCUUCUGGAAGGGACUGCCUGAAGAAGAGCGAAGAAUACACGGAGUUGGCUUUGCUAUCAGAAACGACCUGGUGAAGCACCUGACUGAAGCACCCACUGGCAUCAAUGAACGACUUUCAAACCUCCGAAUUAACCUUGCCAAAAACCAACAGGCAACCAUCAUAUGCACCUAUGUACCAACUCUAGAUGCUGACGAAGACAUCAAGGAAAAUUUUUACUGUCAGCUGGACACCAUCCUAUUGGAGAUACCUAAGGAGGACAAAAUUCAUACUAUGCUUGAUUCUGCUUUGUUUCCUUCUUUUGCAUUCCAAUUACCAAUGAUUAUCAACAUGACCUGUUUUGGUAUGCAUUAGAUUUCCCCCUGGACUUCUGUGCUGAUGGUAACAGUCUUUCCAUUUUUCCUUCUUCUGCUGUCCCUGUAGUGGAAGCAUAAUCAUGGAUUGUGGUUAUAUUGAUAAUUUCCCCCCAAAAUCUUACUCCUAUUGUUUGGUUACAUUUGCACUGAACCUCCCUGAAUUCACUUGCUCCAUUUCACUUCUC
rnacentral:lncRNA from 1 species